GAUGAACGCUGGCGGCGUGCCUAAUACAUGCAAGUCGAGCGAACGGACGAGAAGCUUGCUUCUCUGAUGUUAGCGGCGGAAGGGUGAGUAACACGUGGAUAACCUACCUAUAAGACUGGGAUAACUUCGGGAAACCGGAGCUAAUACCGGAUGAUAUUUUGAACCGCAUGGUUCAAAAGUGAAAGACGGUCUUGCUGUCACUUAUAGAUGGAUCCGCGCUGCAUUAGCUAGUUGGUAAGGUAACGGCUUACCAAGGCAACGAUGCAUAGCCGACCUGAGAGGGUGAUCGGCCACACUGGAACUGAGACACGGUCCAGACUCCUACGGGAGGCAGCAGUAGGGAAUCUUCCGCAAUGUGCGAAAGCCUGACGGAGCAACGCCGCUUGAGUGAUGAAGUUCUUCGGAUCGUAAAACUCUGUUAUUAGGGAAGAACAUAUGUGUAAGUAACUGUGCACAUCUUGACGGUACCUAAUCAGAAAGCCACGGCUAACUACGUG
rnacentral:rRNA from 1 species